rnacentral:rRNA from 1 species
UACGUAGGGUGCAAGCGUUAAUCGGAAUUACUGGGCGUAAAGCGUGCGCAGGCGGUUAUGUAAGACAGAUGUGAAAUGCCCGGGCUUAACCUGGGAACUGCAUUGUGACUGCAUGGCUAGAGUGUGGCAGAGGGGGGUGGAAUUCCACGUGUAGCAGUGAAAUGCGUAGAGAUGUGGAGGAACACCGAUGGCGAAGGCAGCCCCCUGGGUUAACACUGACGCUCAGGCACGAAAGGCGUGGGGAGCAAACGAGGAUUACGAAACCCGUUGUAGAUCCGAG